rnacentral:rRNA from 1 species
UGCAGUCGAGCGGUAGAGAGAAGCUUGCUUCUCUUGAGAGCGGCGGACGCGUGAGUAAUGCCUAGGAAUCUGCCUGGUAGUGGGGGAUAACGUUCGGAAACGGACGCUAAUACCGCAUACGUCCUACGGGAGAAAGCAGGGGACCUUCGGGCCUUGCGCUAUCAGAUGAGCCUAGGUCGGAUUAGCUAGUUGGUGGGGUAAUGGCUCACCAAGGCGACGAUCCGUAACUGGUCUGAGAGGAUGAUCAGUCACACUGGAACUGAGACACGGUCCAGACUCCUACGGGAGGCAGCAGUGGGGAAUAUUGGACAAUGGGCGAAAGCCUGAUCCAGCCAUGCCGCGUGUGUGAAGAAGGUCUUCGGAUUGUAAAGCACUUUAAGUUGGGAGGAAGGGCAGUAAAUUAAUACUUUGCUGUUUUGACGUUACCGACAGAAUAAGCACCGGCUAACUCUGUGCCAGCAGCCGCGGUAAUACAGAGGGUGCAAGCGUUAAUCGGAAUUACUGGGCGUAAAGCGCGCGUAGGUGGUUAGUUAAGUUGGAUGUGAAAUCCCCGGGCUCAACCUGGGAACUGCAUUCAAAACUGACUGACUAGAGUAUGGUAGAGGGUGGUGGAAUUUCCUGUGUAGCGGUGAAAU